ACACACCUACCACGCCCUAAGCUGCCAGUAGCUCCUCACCGGACACUGAUUGGUUCGGUCCGCUGCUGUUCGGACACAAACGCAUUACUUGAAGCCUGACAAGUGUCGUGUGAUUUCGUGACAUCGCGAGAAUCCAGCAGCUGUGCAAGGAAAGGAAAUUAGAGCGAUAAAACCCAAGAUAUCGGCGAUUAAAUUGCUCUGUGUCCCUUCAGGGCCAGAGUACCCCAUCUGCCCCAGUUGUCCUACGACGUUGAUAUUAAAGGAGAACUAUGCAGUUUUUGUUUUAGCUUAAUUUACCUUAACUGAACAGCUUCAGAGUCACUGGAAUGGUUAUAUGACUUUUUUGGGUUGAAUGGAGGUCAUCUUGCCUGCCCCUAGUGCCUGUGAGUGGAAAAAAACAGCCGUCGGCCCAAAGUUGCAGUGUCAUGAAGUACAGCGUGCUAUCAGGUCUCGUGAUGUAACAAAUUGCUUCAUGGCACUGCACACAUAGACGCUGCUACACGCCCCCAUCCAGGAACCGGCUAGUUAUAGGAACAAGGUAGCGAUGGAGUUUUUCACACUAUGGUCAUGGCUGAGCCGGCAAAAAAGAAGCAGAAAGCUAGGAAAGCAUUCUCGGAGGAACAGAAAAAGAAGAAACGGCAGCGAGGAGUCAGACACAAGUAAACAUCGGACCUGCGUUUUCAGAAUAGCGAGAACUGAGACAAACAGAAGCCUGCAAAUCCGAUGCUGACCUGGCGUUCUUGCUGUUGCACUUGUGUCGCUCUACUGCCUGCAAUCAAGUCUCCCUCCUGGAUGCAUCUCACCAGAACACAUUUACUUUCUGUGAGCUGAUGUAACAAUAAGCAAACAGCCGGGGGGGGGGGGGACUUUGACCUGUUUGAGGAACUUAUUGAUUGGAAUCUUGAUCCAAUCACAUAUGACCGUAGAGGCUGUUAUAUACAAUAUGUAUGCAAAUGUAAUUUCUUUGAAAACUCUCUCUGAUCUGUCACUGAAACUUAAUUUUAUAAACAUAUUUUUACACUUUGUGGUUUUUAAUAGGAAACAGCAGCUUUCCUAUUAAUCAAAGCCAAUAAAUGCACCAUCAUAGUCAGUGUUUAUUUUAUUCUUUCAACCAGCAGCAGUGAUGGAGAAUGUAUUCAGCUCAUUUACUGUAGAACAAGUAUAUAUGUAGGUGUUAAGUGUGUCUGUACUGUAUGUGAAUGUCUUUGCACACAUAUUUCGUAAUUAAAAAGAUAAGUAUUAAAAGUA